CAGGAUGAACGCUGGCGGCGUGCUUAACACAUGCAAGUCGAACGAAGCAAGUUUAUUACGAUCCCUUCGGGGUGACGAUUGUUGACUGAGUGGCGGACGGGUGAGUAACGCGUGGGUAACCUGCCUUGUACAGGGGGACAACAGUUGGAAACGACUGCUAAUACCGCAUAAGCGCACAGCUUCGCAUGAAGCAGUGUGAAAAGUAUUUUCGGUACAAGAUGGACCCGCGUCUGAUUAGCUAGUUGGUGAGGUAACGGCCCACCAAGGCGACGAUCAGUAGCCGACCUGAGAGGGUGACCGGCCACAUUGGGACUGAGACACGGCCCAAACUCCUACGGGAGGCAGCAGUGGGGAAUAUUGCACAAUGGGCGAAAGCCUGAUGCAGCGAACCGCCGCGUGAGCGAAGAAGUAUUUCGGUAUGUAAAGCUCUAUCAGCAGGGAAGAUAAUGACGGUACCUGACUAAGAAGCACCGGCUAAAUACGUGCCAGCAGCGGC
rnacentral:rRNA from 1 species